CGGCGGACGGGUGAGUAACACGUGGGUAACCUACCUAUAAGACUGGGACAACUUCGGGAAACCGGAGCUAAUACCGGAUAAGAUAUCGAACCGCAUGGUUCGAUAGUGAAAGAUGGUUUUGCUACCACUUAUAGAUGGACCCGCGCCGUAUUAGCUAGUUGGUGAGGUAACGGCUCACCAAGGCAACGAUACGUAGCCGACCUGAGAGGGUGAUCGGCCACACUGGAACUGAGACACGGUCCAGACUCCUACGGGAGGCAGCAGGA
rnacentral:rRNA from 1 species